CAGUAGCCACGGUAAUACGUAGGUGGCAAGCGUUGUCCGGAAUUAUUGGGCGUAAAGGGCUCGCAGGCGGUUUCUUAAGUCUGAUGUGAAAGCCCCCGGCUCAACCGGGGAGGGUCAUUGGAAACUGGGAAACUUGAGUGCAGAAGAGGAGAGUGGAAUUCCACGUGUAGCGGUGAAAUGCGUAGAUAUAUGGAGGAACACCGGUGGCGAAAGCGGCUCUCUGGCUUGUAACUGACGCUGAGGCUCGAAAGCGUGGGGAACAAACAGGAUUAGAUACCCCCGUAGUCCCUGUCUCUUAUAC
rnacentral:rRNA from 1 species